rnacentral:rRNA from 1 species
GAUGAACGCUGGCGGCGUGCCUAAUACAUGCAAGUCGAGCGAACAGACGAGGAGCUUGCUCCUCUGACGUUAGCGGCGGACGGGUGAGUAACACGUGGAUAACCUACCUAUAAGACUGGGAUCACUUCGGGAAACCGGAGCUCAUACCGGAUAAUAUAUUGAACCGCAUGGUUCAAUAGUGAAAGACGGUUUUGCUGUCACUUAUAGAUGGAUCCGCGCCGCAUUAGCUAGUUGGUAAGGUAACGGCUUACCAAGGCGACGAUGCGUAGCCGACCUGAGAGGAGGAUGAGGCACACUGGAACGGAGACACGGUCGAGACGCCUACGGGAGGCAGCAGGGGGGAAUAUUGGAGAAUGGGCGAAAGCCUGAGCAAGUCAUGCAGAGUAUGUGAAGAAGGUCUUAGGAUAGUAAAGAAGUUUAGAUGGGAAGGAAGGGCAGUAAGUUAAUAAAUUGCUGUUUGGACGUUACCAAAAGAAUAAGCACCGGCUAACUUCGUG